rnacentral:rRNA from 1 species
AUGGCCCGACCACCGCGGAUGGGGUCCUGGCGAGGUCCUCUGCCGCCGCGCAGGGUCACGCCGCCGCCAGUACUUGGGCAGUUCAUGGACGCAGCCAAGUUCAAUCCUUCCUUGAGGGGAUGGGAGAGAUCGCCGGCGACGGCCGCAUCGACGAGAUCUGACGUUGAUCGAGCGGCUGUUUCGGAGGCGAAUUCUCAGGAGUUUCAAAAUCGACCGGCCUCGGAGAGCGGCCCCAUGUUGCAUGCAGGGAGGGAACCGGGCCAGGAUUUUUCUUGGGCCUUUCUAAGGAGGCGCAUGAGGGCUCUCUGGGGUGGAUACCCUACUCUCACGCCGUUGAUUGUGCAAGCAGUCACAGACAAGCCGCCACCGUCCACAUCGUCAUCGGUUUCUGCCGCACAGUCCUCGACCGCCGCCGCCAAGCCUCUGCACCCCUCGCGGACGCCUUCACCAACUCCUACACCGUCUUCCUGCACCGGGGUUGCCCGCUCCUACGCGGCGGUCGCGGCGGCGCUGUUGAGCCCCAUGGCGGGCGUGCCUCCUGCGGCGCGGGCCGCCUCGGCCACGGGAGGGUCGAACCCCCCUACUACUCCGGGCGUGGGGGCGCCACCGGCUCCCUCGCGCCCUCCGGCUCAGGCGCCGGGCUUCUACGGUCCGCCACAACAGCAGCGAGGACCGGCACCAGUAUACAUCUAUGGUGGGAACCAGCCCCCUGGUUAUGCCCAGGCUGGGCAGUACCUCUCGCCGUAUGGUCCGGCCGUUGCCGGAGUGCAGGCCCCCACAUAUGGGGCUUCGCAGACCGGGUUGUCCGCUCCGCCACUGUUUCAUCCAGGGGGGUUGUGGCACAUCCGGCUCAAAAACGCAAAAAGAAGAAGCCACAACAGCAGCAGUUUGCCGAUGGAGCCUUACAACAUGGUUUUCACCCUCCUCCUCAACACAUGCCGGUUCAGCAACAGUUUCCGCAUCAACCCAUACCACAGCAGCACGUGCAGACUCACCAAGACCAAUAUCAGCAGGUUGUGCAGCCACAGAUGCCGCAGGCACUAG